CUCAUCCCACAUACACACCAUGUCUAACACCCUAUCCACUCCAGCGCCGCCUCCACUCGUCACGCCCAUGCGUGCCCCGCCGCCCGCGUGUGCCCCCGUCGGCAGCCUGCCCCGCCGUCCUCCACAGCCCCAUCCCCGCCGCCCAGACAUGCCCGCCGGCCGGCCACAUCGAUCCCUGCACUCGCGUCCCUCGCUCGCGUCGCAGAUGUGCAGCGCGUGGCUGCCGUCGCAGAGUUGGGCUCCGCCGCUCUCUUCUCUCAGGCAAGAACGCCGCCGAGGGAGAUGUUGCUGCACAAGAUCGAGGAGGAGCAGGGUGUAUGCGACGACCUCCGCCCCGGCCACCGCGAGUAGUGCGGGCCAGCUCCACCAUGCCGUGAAACCACGCAAGUGAGAUCCACCUCCGAGCAGGCACUUAGAUGGUUUUCGCUUGAAGGAUGGAAAAGCAGCAACACAUUCAUAUCAUCUUUUAGUGUGAAAACUUAUGUUGUAAACUGAUUAUGUACUCAUUUGAUAUGGAUGUAUGAAAGUAUGAUUAAUGUGCCAUUUGUGUAUGUUAUUGUAUUGGUUCUGAAUGGGUCCAGAUUUAAAUA